rnacentral:tRNA from 1 species
CUAGUAGCUCAGCCGGAUAGAGCAUACGCCUUCUAAGCGUACGGUCGGGAGUUCGAAUCUCUCCUGGGACGUACCA